GGGACCCGUCUUGAAACACGGACCAAGGAGUCUAGCAUGUGCGCGAGUCAUUGGGACUCUAACGAAACCUAAAGGCGUAAUGAAAGUGAAGGUCCGCCUUGCGCGGACCGAGGGAGGAUGGACGAUCUCUAGGGAUCGUCCCGCACUCCCUGGGCGUCUCGUUCUCAUCGCGAGAAGAGGCGCACCAAGAGCGUACACGCUGGGACCCGAAAGAUGGUGAACUAUGCCUGGUCAGGACGAAGUCAGGGGAAACCCUGAUGGAGGUCCGUAGCGAUUCUGACGUGCAAAUCGAUCGUCGGAACUGGGUAUAGGGGCGAAAGACUAAUCGAACCAUCUAGUAGCUGGUUCCCUCCGAAGUUUCCCUCAGGAUAGCUGGCGCUCGCUUCUCGCGAGUCUCAUUCGGUAAAGCGAAUGAUUAGAGGCAUUGGGGUCGAAACGGCCUCAACCUAUUCUCAAACUUUAAAUGGGUGAGAUCUCCGGCUUGCUUGAACUGUGAAGCCGCGAGAUAUCGGAUCAGAGUGCCAAGUGGGCCACUUUUGGUAAGCAGAACUGGCGCUGUGGGAUGAACCAAACGCCGAGUUAAAGCGCCUAAAUCGACGCUUAUGGGAUACCAUGAAAGGCGUUGGUAACUUAAGACAGCAGGACGGUGGCCAUGGAAGUCGGAAUCCGCUAAGGAGUGUGUAAA
rnacentral:rRNA from 1 species